AACGAACGUUAGCGGCGCGCUUAACACAUGCAAGUCGAACGAGAAAGGGCUUCGGCCCCGGUACAGUGGCGCACGGGUGAGUAACACGUGGGUAAUCUGCCCAGAAGAAGGGGAUAACCUCUCGAAAGGGGGCUAAUACCGGAUACGAUUCACGGGCGGCAUCGCCUGUGGAUGAAAAGAGGCCUCUCGAAGAAGCUCCUGCUGGAAGACAAGCCCGCGGCUGAUUAGCUAGUUGGUGAGGUAAAGGCUCACCAAGGCGACGAUCUGUAGCGGGUCUGAGAGGAUGAUCCGCCACACUGGAACUGAGACACGGUCCAGACUCCUACGGGAGGCAGCAGUGGGGAAUUUUGGACAAUGGGCGCAAGCCUGAUCCAGCCAUGCCGCGUGAGUGAAGAAGGCCUGG
rnacentral:rRNA from 1 species